GACGAACGCUGGCGGCGUGCCUAAUACAUGCAAGUCGAACGCAGUGGGGACGGGUGAGUAACACGUGGGUAACCUCCCAACAGAGGGGAUAACACUUGGAAACAGGUGCUAAACUGAUACUGAUGGAUGGACCAGCGGUGUAUUAGCUUGUUGGUGAGGUAACGGCUCACCAAGUCCACGAUGCAUAGCCGACCUGAGAGGGUGAGCGGCCACACUGGGACUGAGACACGGCCCAGACUCCUACGUGAGGCAGCAGUAGGGAAUCUUCGGCAAUGGACGAAAGUCUGACCGAGCAACGCCGCGUGAGUGAAGAAGGUUUUCGGAUCGUAAAACUCUGUUGUUAGAGAAGCGGUAUCUAACCAGAAAGCCACGGCUAACUACGUGCCAGCCGCCGCGGUAAUUC
rnacentral:rRNA from 1 species